rnacentral:misc_RNA from 1 species
GCCGCUGCAGAAGCCACCUCGCUUAGACGCAAGAUUGGGCGCCAAUCGACCGCAGAAUCUGAAGGUGGUGUUCGUAACGAGAGCUGCUGAUUCAACUCAGCCUUCAACUACUGCCUCGCCGUCUUCUGCCAAAACUAUUGUUACUGAUGAUGAAUUCUCUCUCGCUAAGGUCUCAUUUGGUGUUAUUGGACUGGGUGUUGGGAUUUCACUCUUAUCGUGAGUUCUUUUAGCUUUUGAUGGUACCUAGUAUUCUUAAAUU